rnacentral:rRNA from 1 species
UGUUUCGGCUAGGGGGCCAUCCCGGCUUACCAACCCGAUGCAAACUGCGAAUACCGGAGAAUGUUAUCACGGGAGACACACGGCGGGUGCUAACGUCCGUCGUGAAGAGGGAAACAACCCAGACCGCCAGCUAAGGUCCCAAAGUCAUGGUUAAGUGGGAAACGAUGUGGGAAGGCCCAGACAGCCAGGAUGUUGGCUUAGAAGCAGCCAUCAUUUAAAGAAAGCGUAAUAGCUCACUGGUCGAGUCGGCCUGCGCGGAAGAUGUAACGGGGCUAAACCAUGCACCGAAGCUGCGGCAGCGACGCUGAUGCGUUGUUGGGUAGGGGAGCGUUCUGUAAGCCUGCGAAGGUGGCCUGUGAGGGUUGCUGGAGGUAUCAGAAGUGCGAAUGCUGACAUAAGUAACGAUAAAGCGGGUGAAAAGCCCGCUCGCCGGAAGACCAAGGGUUCCUGUCCAACGUUAAUCGGGGCAGGGUGAGUCGACCCCUAAGGCGAGGCCGAAAGGCGUAGUCGAUGGGAAACGGGUUAAUAUUCCCGUACUUGGUGUUACUGCGAAGGGGGGACGGAGAAGGCUAUGUUGGCCGGGCGACGGUUGUCCCGGUU